rnacentral:rRNA from 1 species
UAAUACGGAGGGUGCAAGCGUUGUUCGGAAUUAUUGGGCGUAAAGCGGGUGCAGGCGGUCAAGUAAGUCAGAUGUGAAAUCCCAGGGCCCAACCCUGGAACUGCAUCCGAAACUGCUUGACUAGAGUCUCGGAGAGGAAAGCGGAAUUCCCGGUGUAGAGGUGAAAUUCGUAGAUAUCGGGAGGAACACCAGUGGCGAAGGCGGCUUUCUGGACGAUGACUGACGCUCAGACCCGAAAGCGUGGGGAGCAAACAGGAUUAGAUACCCUGGUAGUCCACGCCGUAAACGUUGAGUGCUCGUCGAUGCGGGUAUUGACCCCUGCAUUGACCAAGCUAACGCAUUAAGCACUCCGCCUGGGGAGUACGGUCGCAAGACUA